rnacentral:sRNA from 3 species
AUGUACCCCCCCCGUACACUCCGGUUCCUACGCGCCGUCCGCACCCACCUGACGGCUGCUCGCUACGUUUUGUUAGCC